rnacentral:rRNA from 1 species
GUGGGGAAUAUUGGGCAAUGGGGGAAACCCUGACCCAGCAACGCCGCGUGAAGGAAGAAGGCCUUCGGGUUGUAAACUUCUUUUACCAGGGACGAAGAACGUGACGGUACCUGGAGAAAAAGCCACGGCUAACUACGUGCCAGCAGCCGCGGUAAUACGUAGGUGGCAAGCGUUGUCCGGAUUUACUGGGUGUAAAGGGCGUGUAGGCGGAGAUGCAAGUUGGGAGUGAAAUCCCGGGGCUCAACCCCGGAACUGCUUUCAAAACUGUAUCCCUUGAGUGUCGGAGAGGCAAGCGGAAUUCCUAGUGUAGCGGUGAAAUGCGUAGAUAUUAGGAGGAACACCAGUGGCGAAGGCGGCUUGCUGGACGAUAACUGACGCUGAGGCGCGAAAGCGUGGGGAGCAAACAGGAUUAGAAACCCUUGUAGUCC